GAUAGUGGGCUAACCGUUGUCACGCAAUAGCAAUUUUUAUGUGUCGUGUUUGCUAUGUUUCUAAAAUAAAAAAUUAUAAUUAACUAAUUUAUCGGCUUUGUUGAUUUGUAUUAGUUUAUGAUGUGUAAGGCAAUUGUGCAGUGUAGGAUAGUGGUUGUUUAAAUUCAUAUUAUGUAUAAAGCCUACAUCUAAGUACUCACAUACGUAGCUGUAGCGGGAACCAUGCGGGUCGUCGACACAGCGGCUCAAGCGGAGCGGAUACAGGAGCGGGGCGGAGAGCGUUUAGUAGCCGCUUAACGCCUCGCGCACUCACUGCUAUGACAGCAGCCAUUGCUAAUACACAAGCACCACCGAAGACUGCCCACAGAACCUGGUACCAACAUGUCAAGUUUAGUAUCAUUAAAGAAAUGACUUUGUAUAAAUCAGAAACAAAAAUACACUUACAUAGGUCGCGAGAGAGCCUUCAUUAGCAGCCGUUGGAUCUGAAAGUAAAACCUGUUUAUAGCUACUUCAAUUAAAUUACUUUGAAUUAAA